rnacentral:lncRNA from 1 species
UGUUAAUUCUAGUGUAAAAUUCAUACUUUGUUGAAAUAAUUAUUUUUCUAUUCAUACUAAUGUAAAAUUAUAUUGUUUUCUUUUACAGGUUUCAGUCAAUGGCAUUAAAGGUAUGGUUUCAUUUGUGGAAAGUGUGAUGUUUCAGUCCCUUUAUCCAGGGAAUCAUUACAUUAUUCCUAAGAGGCUUAGUCAGGAUGUUGUUGAGUUUUUUUUUCCAUGCAAAGGCAGUCCUGUGGAGGGACAAACAAUAUGACUGCAUAUACAUAUGGGUAUAACAUAAACAGCACACUUGCAUCAUCAACCAAGUUGCUAUCAAAGAAACAGACAAAUGUAUACGAAACUGAUGAUGUUGACCUUGGACAGCAGCCACAGAGUUGGUCCAGUCUUCCAAAGAGGGACAAUGUUCAGGGCAUAUUUCAUAAAAAUCUUUGGCCAGUACAUCUUUAAGCUGUUGUAGUUUUGAAAUAACCCUAUUUAUGCAAAAAAAAUGGCACCAAUAAUACACCUGGCCAUUUAUUGGAUACUUGUUCCAAUGUUCUCAUGUUUCAUGCACAAUAGGGUUAGGGAUUAUGGGUAGGUUUGUGAUUGGAUCAAGAUGAUAUAUUUGUGCAUGAAACAUGGGGGUGUAACCUUAAUGUGUGCUUGCCAUCCGAAAACAUGGAAACAGGGUCAUUGGGCCAAUACCACAGAAUACUAUACAGAAGUCUGCGAGUGACUCCAUUGUUUUUUGCGUAAGCGCUAUUCAUCAUGAUUCGUCACUUAGCAAGUACUGUAAACAGAAGCGGUUACCCCCUGGAAAUAUUCAGAAUGGCACACAUCCAGGGGGGUAACUCCUUCUGUUUACAGUACUUGCGAAUCAUGAUGAAUAGCACUUACAUACAAAACAAUGGAGAUGGACUUCUGUAUAGUAUUCUGUGCCAAAACAUCCAUAAAUAAAACACUAGAAUCUAUUUGUUGUAAAAAGAUCUCCAUUCUUUCUGGCCUACUUUAAACAUGGCAUUGCCUACCAGUGCACCGAUAUGUACCAGUGAGACUUAUUUCCAUAUAGUACAUUAUACAUGUACAUUGUAACAGUGGUAGACACUUUGUGAAAUGUUGGGGGUGAUGAGCUUAUAUCGCUCUUGGAGCAAAUGCAUAAAUAUGUUUAAAAUAAAAAUAAUAAAUGUUGGGUGUGGGGAUUAGGCAACCCUCAUACACAGGGUAUUUCCUCUUGGAGAGAAAAGACCUUGGCUAGAGGGGAAAGGACUCUGGUAGAUGCUAUUCAUGUGAUCUGCUAAAAUUUAGCAGAUUGCUAAAUAUAAUAACUAUCUUGGAUUCCCUUACAACAAUCAUAGAAAAUGCAAAUUAUAAAUUAAUCUCAUCUAGGAUUGCUAAUUAAAAAUCUGCCAGAUUUCAGCAGAUCAUGUGGCUAUCUCUUACAUGGGUGUUUUCGCCCCAAGAGGAAAGACCCCUGUAUAUAAGGUUGGGGUUAGGUUGUCAACAUAUGACCACCUUUUGUAGCUGGAAAUCUUAGAACAUAUAUGGAUCCAGUUCACUAAUACUAUAAGGUAAAUAUUUUGGUUAAUUCUCAGGGCUUAAAAUAAAUAUUUUAAAUUUUAAAUAUGUUUGUAGGCUGUUUGGUCCACCUGCCUUUUCAGGUUUCAACCUCUGGUAUGCUGAACAUGAAUAUCAUGGACAUAAUAUGAUCAGUAAUAUGAGAAUUACAGUAACAUCUACAAGGACUGAAGGCCCAUUGAAGAUUGUCAAAAAAUAUAAAAUUGGCAGCAAAAGUAGACAAUGUAUAAGUUAGAAUGAUGUUUCGUUCAGCAUGGCUCUUUUGCACAUACUCUGGGCCAUGGCGCUUAUAUAAUUAUAUAAGCGGCCUGCUCUGGGCAUCCAUUUCAUUAUACGAUAUAGCCUGUGUUUAAUUAAUGUGUUUUUGUAUCAAACGUUUGACUCUUCUGGUGGGUAUUCUUAUUCUAAUAUAAUCAACAAUCUCCAAGGACUAAAUACUGUAGUUUGUUUACAAUUUGUUUUGACUAAAUCCAUCAUUGAUUCUGUUGCUUUUCUAAUGAUGGUCUUCACUCGAAAUGUCAAAGUUUAUAUUUUUGGCUGCCAGAGAGGGCCUUUUGCAUCUGCUCCUGGUUAGGUCUAUUAACUGUGGUUAGGUCUAAUAAAUGUAUAUAUAAUGUCUACUCAAAUUUCCAUGUACAUAUCCCUUCUAGUAAUAGCAUUAUCUUUUGCUGUAAGGGAUGACCAUUAGAAAAGUGACGGGGGGGGGGGACAUUUCCAACCUGUACGGUUAUUUUUUUGCUUGUGUCGAUAGUUUUUUUUUAAUAAUCCCUUGCUCGAUUGUUGGCGAGGGGGGGGGGGAAUUUUCAGGAAAUACAAAUUUUUUCAGGACAAAGAAAGGGUAAAAAAAAAUUUCCCGCACUAACAUCACUUUAGUUAACGUUCAAAACACAUUUUCCCUGACAAAUUCUUGUUAAAACAUGCUUAAAAUGCUUUUUUGCACCAAUAUCUGCAACAUUUAGGUUUAGAAAUGUUUUCUCACACCAUUAGGCCCUGUCAACUUAUAAUUUUCCCUAUUGAAAAGUCUCUGCACGAAUUUUUUUUUUACUUUU